UACAGAGGUCCCGAGCGUUGUUCGGAUUCACUGGGCGUAAAGGGUGCGUAGGUGGUUGGGAAAGUCUGAUGUGAAAUCCCCGGGCUCAACCCGGGAAAUGCAUCGGAAACUGCCUGGCUGGAGGGUUGGAGGGGGGACUGGAAUUCCCGGUGUAGCAGUGAAAUGCGUAGAUAUCGGGAGGAACGCCAGUGGCGAAGGCGAGUCCCUGGACAACACCUGACACUGAGGCACGAAAGCUAGGGGAGCAAACAGG
rnacentral:rRNA from 1 species